AAUCUCUCAGGGUCACAUCUGGAGAGUUUCCAGUACUCUACCAAUCUUGGUUAUGGGAGGGAGAGUGAAGCAGAGGGAUACUCAUUCCAUUCCUAGGUUGGGCAGUGGCUAGUGAGUGGAAGGCAAUCUGCUACAAAA
rnacentral:snoRNA from 1 species